CAGGUGUCCGCCAGACGGCGCCAAAGCGCCGGCAGAGCUGCUCUGGCUCUGCCUGGCUGCAACUCCAGGCUCAGAAUGGGCCUGGAGCAGGAUGGAAGGAAACGCAAGGAGGGCCCAGACAGAGCCUUGUGUUGGUACCGGGUACCUGUGACGUGUGGCCGUUUUGUGUCAACAUGCAGUCUGUGCCCCAGCAACUGGAGCGCUGGACGGGCCGUCGAGGGCCUGCGUGCCCUUUGCUCCUUGGGGGCACGGCGCUGGGACCCAGGAGGACCCGGCUUGAGUCCUGGACAUGCGGAUUUCUAGAGUCAGGCAGGGGAGGCAUCCGGCCUCUGGAAGGCUGGGCUUCAGGUAGUGAAGGCGGUGUGUCACUGCGGUGGUAUCUGGGGAGGCGUGCCGAGCCUCUCCGUGUGCGCGUCCCCUCCAGAAAUCUCCACAUCCCCCUGCUUCUCUCUCCACCAGAGCCGCCUCUCCCUCUGCCGACUGCCUGCCUGCCUGCCUGCCUGCCUGCCUGUGCCAAGAAGCCUACCCGAAUCGAGGGAAAGAGAGAACGAUGCCCGGGAGCGCCUUAACUUCACGCCGGGCGCAAGGGCGGAAGGGGGCCGAUUGGUUGACAGCCGGCUGCCUUGCCUUAAGAAGCAGGGCGUCUGAUGUCAAGCCGCCUCUCCCUCUGCCGACUGCCUGCCUGCCUGCCUGCCUGCCUGCCUGUGCCAAGAAGCCUACCCGAAUCGAGGGAAGAGAGAACGAUGCCCGGGAGCGCCUUAACUUCACGCCGGGCGCAAGGGCGGAAGGGGGCCGAUUGGUUGACAGCCGGCUGCCUUGCCUUAAGGAGCAGGGCGUCUGAUGUCAAGCCGCCUCUCCCUCUGCCGACUGCCUGCCUGCCUGCCUGCCUGCCUGCCUGCCUGCCUGUGCCAAGAAGCCUACCCGAAUCGAGGGAAGAGAGAACGGUGCCCGGGAGCGCCUUAACUUCACGCCGGGCGCAAGGGCGGAAGGGGGCCGAUUGGUUGACAGCCGGCUGCCUUGCCUUAAGGAGCAGGGCGUCUGAUGUCAGUGAGUGGGGCGGUUUCGUUGGGGGCGAGAGGCCUGGCCGACCUUGCGAGGGUCUUCCUCAACAUAAUAAAGGCUAUAUGUGA
rnacentral:lncRNA from 1 species